rnacentral:rRNA from 1 species
GACGAACGCUGGCGGCGUGCUUAACACAUGCAAGUCGAACGGAAAGGCCCUGCUUUUGUGGGGUGCUCGAGUGGCGAACGGGUGAGUAACACGUGAGUAACCUGCCCUUGACUUUGGGAUAACUUCAGGAAACUGGGGCUAAUACCGGAUAGGAGCUCCUGCUGCAUGGGGGGGGUUGGAAAGUUUCGGCGGUUGGGGAUGGACUCGCGGCUUAUCAGCUUGUUGGUGGGGUAGUGGCUUACCAAGGCUUUGACGGGUAGCCGGCCUGAGAGGGUGACCGGCCACCUUGGGCCUGAGAUACGGCCCAGACUCCUACGGGAGGCAGCAGUGGGGAAUAUUGCACAAUGGGCGGAAGCCUGAUGCAGCAACGCCGCGUGCGGGAUGACGUCCUUCGGGUUGUAAACCGCUUUCGCCUGUGACGAAGCGUGAGUGACGGUAAUGGGUAAAGAAGCACCGGCUAACUACGUG